GAUUAACGCUAGCGGCAGGCCUAAUACAUGCAAGUUGAACGGGAUUGAUUGUAGCAAUACGGUCAUGAGAGUAGCGCACGGGUGCGUAACACGUAUGCAACCUACCUAUAACUGGGGAAUAGCCUCCCGAAAGGGGGAUUAAUACCGCAUAAUAUUAUUGAAUGGCAUCAUUUGAUAAUUAAACCUCAGGGGGUUAUAGAUGGGCAUGCGUCCGAUUAGCUAGUUGGUGAGGUAAUGGCUCACCAAGGCUACGAUCGGUAGGGGGUCUGAGAGGAUGAUCCCCCACACUGGUACUGAGACACGGACCAGACUCCUACGGGAGGCAGCAGUAAGGAAUAUUGGACAAUGGGCGCAAGCCUGAUCCAGCCAUGCCGCGUGAAGGAUGAAGGCCCUAUGGGUCGUAAACUUCUUUUAAACGGGACGAAACCCCUCGACGUGUCGAGGGCUGACGGUACCGUAAGAAUAAGGGUCGGCUAACUUCGUGCCAGCAGCCGCCGUAAUAC
rnacentral:rRNA from 1 species